rnacentral:rRNA from 1 species
GAUGAACGCUGGCGGCGUGCCUAAUACAUGCAAGUCGAGCGAACAGACGAGGAGCUUGCUCCUUCGACGUUAGCGGCGGACGGGUGAGUAACACGUAGGUAACCUACCUAUAAGACUGGGAUAACUUCGGGAAACCGGAGCUAAUACCGUAUAAUAUUUCGAACCGCAUUGUUCGAUAGUGAAAGAUGGCUUUGCUAUCACUUAUAGAUGGACCUGCGCCGUAUUAGCUAGUUGGUAAGGUAACGGUUUACCAUGGCAACGAUACGUAGCCGACCUGAGAGGGUGAUCGCCCACACGGGAACUGAGACACGGUCCAGACUCCUACGGGAGGCAGCAGUAGGGAAUCUUCCGCAAUGGGCGAAAGCCUGACGGAGCAACGCCGCGUGAGUGAUGAAGGUCUUCGGAUCGUAAAACUCUGUUAUUAGGGAAGAACAAACGUGUAAGUAACUGUGCACGUCUUGACGGUACCUAAUCAGAAAGCCACGGCUAACUACGUG